ACUUAUAUAAUUUAAUAUAAAAUAUUGAUUUGUGGAAUCGAAAAUAUGAUAAAUCAUUUUAAGUA
rnacentral:tRNA from 1 species